rnacentral:rRNA from 1 species
AACGUAGGUACCGAGCGUUAUCCGGAUUUACUGGGCGUAAAGCGCGUUCAGGCGGUUUGGCAAGUCGGGCAUGAAAUCUCUCGGCUCAACCGGGAGAGGUUGUCCGAUACUGCUGGACUUGAGGGCAGUAGAGGGUGGUGGAAUUCCGGGUGUAGUGGUGAAAUGCGUAGAUAUCCGGAGGAACACCAGUGGCGAAAGCGGCCACCUGGACUGUACCUGACGCUGUAGCGCGAAAGCGUGGGGAGCGAACGGG